UAAUUAGUGGGAAAUGUUUCUUGAUGUAGUAUACAGCCUUUUAUUCUGGGUAGUCCUUGGGGCUCUGAUGGCUUCAGUUACAGGCUUUAGUUUCUCUAUAACUUAUAAGCCAUGUGUGCCUCACUUCUUGCUGUCGUGUUUCGUGGACUGACACCCUCCACUCAUGAGCAAACAUCUGGAGAAGCAGAUUUACCUUUUCUUCUUGUGAAUGUAGCAAGGGUGGUAAACACCAGUGGCCAGUGGCAGGGAGGGUGGGGUGGGGGGGUAGAAGUUGGGAUGCCACAGCACCCAGAGAGUCACAGAGCCACUCCUGUUCAAAGGGCUGUGGAGUUGUUCCUCUCUUUCAUCCAGUUGUGAAUUAACUUCCUUCUCCCCACUUAUAUUUGUUUCUCUCUUUGCACAGGAUCUGCACAGGCCACGAAGGCUAAGCGAUGCCUUAACACCAAAGGUGGUGGUUGCUACCCUAUGCAUUGUCCCGAUACUCAUGAAAAGAUUGGAGAGUGUUUUCCUAGUGUUCCCUGUUGCAAAAGACGGGAGGAGUGAUAGAUGCCUUUGAAAAGUGGAAGAUGCUCCCUCUCUUCGAGAGCCGCUGGAUCCCGCUUGAUCCCCAGCUAGGGACUUCUUCUCCAAAGCAUCCAGAUUGAAAAAGCAACAUUUUCAAGGCUCACGUGAGCUUGUGCCUUGCAAUAAAAGCAGAUCCAAAAGCC